GAUGAACGCUGACAGAAUGCUUAACACAUGCGAGUCUUUGGCGAAGCUGUGCUUGCACUGCCUAGCCAAGGCGGACGGGUGAGUAACGCGUAAGGAACUUGCCCUGCAGUCAGGGAUAACAGACGGAAACGACUGAUAAGACCUGGUAAAGUCAGGCGGACUCAUGUCCAGCCUGAUGAAAAGAGAUGCUGCAGGAGAGCCUUGCGUCCUAUUAGCUUGUUGGUGGGGUAACGGCCCACCAAGGCGAUGAUAGGUAGCCGGCCUGAGAGGGUGGACGGCCACAAGGGGACUGAGAUACGGCCCUUACUCCUACGGGAGGCAGCAGUGGGGAAUAUUGGACAAUGGGGGCAACCCUGAUCCAGCAAUUCUGUGUGCACGAUGAAGGUUUUCGGAUUGUAAAGUGCUUUCAGCAGGGAAGAAAAAAAUGACGGUACCUGCAGAAGAAGCGACGGCUAAAUACGUG
rnacentral:rRNA from 1 species